rnacentral:lncRNA from 1 species
UCACUGCAAGCCAACCUAGCUACUGGAAGUAGACUGCAGCGUGGUUCGUUUUGAAGGCCUGGAUAGGUGGUUGUAUAGGGGCCAAGAUAGCAGCCAAGUAGAUUUGAUGAUGGGGCUGGUUGUAGGUAAUGAUGGAAGGCAAAUAUAGGUUCAGUAGACUGAGAGAAAGAGAGAAGAAAAGCUCAGCCAUAUAUAGCCAAGCCUUCCAUCCGAACUUAACUAUAUCUGUAGCAAAGUGUUGUUAUUUUUUUAAAAGUCAGAAGCAGUUAGAGUGAAAGGAGAGGUAGCAGUUAAGGUAUCCAAUCUUCCUCUUACCAACCAAAUCAGAUAACACUUUAAAAGCAAAAGAAAGGUAGCAC